UCCAUAAAUGUUGGGGUGAUGUGGGUAGUCUAGGGGGUGUGAGUAAGCAUUCUAAACCAAGAGAGGUAAUGAUAGGCUUAGAGGGAGUAUUUCUAACUCUCACUGAAGAAUUAAAGGAGAGUGUGAGGUUUUGGAAAGGGAAAAGUAGUAAAUCGGAAGAGGGAAGCUGAGAGGGUGUUGGUGUAUUCUUCAAUUUGUACAAAAGGCCUGGGAGUGACUCCGGACACUUCGGAGGCUUAGAGAGGUAUUACAGUUAGCUAGACAAGAGGUACCAGUAUGGAGGAACAAGAUGAUGACCUGUCUCUAUAUGAAUAAACAUAUCCUAUGUGUGUGCUAGUUUCCUAUUUGUACUUUAAAUAAAGUGUUCUAGUAUCUCAAGAGUGUGUUGUAAGAGUUGAACUCUUUAAACUCAUGAUGUAUUAAAUAAACAGGUCUAAGUGAACUUUUAGUUGGCUCUGGUUCCAUCAUA